rnacentral:rRNA from 1 species
AGAGUUUGAUCAUGGCUCAGAACGAACGCUGGCGGCAUGCCUAACACAUGCAAGUCGAACGAGACCUUCGGGUCUAGUGGCGCACGGGUGCGUAACGCGUGGGAAUCUGCCCUUGGGUUCGGAAUAACAGCGAGAAAUUGCUGCUAAUACCGGAUGAUGACGUAAGUCCAAAGAUUUAUCGCCCAAGGAUGAGCCCGCGUAGGAUUAGCUAGUUGGUGAGGUAAAGGCUCACCAAGGCGACGAUCCUUAGCUGGUCUGAGAGGAUGAUCAGCCACACUGGGACUGAGACACGGCCCAGACUCCUACGGGAGGCAGCAGUGGGGAAUAUUGGACAAUGGGCGAAAGCCUGAUCCAGCAAUGCCGCGUGAGUGAUGAAGGCCUUAGGGUUGUAAAGCUCUUUACCCGGGAUGAUAAUGACAGUACCGGGAGAAUAAGCCCCGGCUAACUCCGUG